UUAGUUUAUGAAUAACAAAAUACAGUAAACCUAUAAAUGUAGUACUGUAUAUGUUGCUCUAUGUGACUUGCUGUUGUUUUGCUGACUUUUGCUGCUUCUCGCGGACCUUUUACGGACUUUAAAAAAAAAUUAUGAAUAUGUUUGAAAAAAUUCACGAUGCACUGAAGCCGCGAUAAACGAACCGCGAAAUAGCGAGGGAUCACUGUUAUCUGUUUCACAAUAACAUAACUACGGCAGCACGUGUAAAGAACAAGAUAAUGAAAGUGUUUGUUUGUUUUUGUUUUUAGGACUUCCAUUGAAUCGGUCUUUUAACGCACAUAUCUGUACUUCAAUUUAAGAACGUAAUGUCAGUACUUUUGCCACCUCUGUAACAGUAUCGCUACUGAGACUUAAACCUUAUACGUAAUGUAUAAGAGUUGAUGGUAAUAUUGAACCACGAGCCCGCAGGACUCGCGGGAGUCAUAAAGUCACCUAACAGACGCUGUGGAAAUAUUUGAGUGGUGAUACAGUGUGAUGUGACGGGCUUAUGGGGGCUGACAGCUGCCCUCGCAGCUCACAUGGUGCUGCCGCUGUCAAGGGGAGAAUAAUGACAGCCAGCCAGCUGGCGUGUAUCAUACUCAACGCUCCACCACCACAAGGGGCCAUGUGCCUCCCCGGACUAGUAUGAGGAAGUAGAAACGACACACAAACACACACGUCGGAGUGGCUGACUUACAUGUCGGUGGAUCGCGUUUGGCUACGGCAGAGCAGCGCGUGUCCGCACGCUUGUCCCAUGGCGCAUCGUGCCUCGCCACCCCGCUUGACCAAAAACAACAGCAGUCGUGGAGUGUGAAGCGCUAGGAUGGAGGUGACAGUGGACGAUGAGCGGGUUGGGUGUGUUUGUGUGUCGUCUUCGUUUUGUCACUUCUUCGCCGGUGUCCGCCGCUUCUUAGGGGCUUCCAUCUCUCCGGCGUGGAGAACGGAAGAUUAUUCGAGACCGGCUGCCAGGCCGGUCGUCCGUAUCCAGUCGUUAUGGCAACCCUGCAAACAUCAUUUUGGAAUAAUGCUACAAGGUUUAUCACAGCGGGCUGAGCCUCAUAGCUUUUGAAAAGACGCAUGUCUUGCAGCAGGAUACAAAACAAUAAUAGACUACGACUGCGAUG